AACAGUUUUAAGGGGAGGGGCUACUGAGACAUUCUAACUGGAGGGGGGAAAAUUAAAUGCUUACUUCAGUGACAGUAAAAGGUGUUGCACAUUAACUUGCAUAUCGUCCUGAACAAUGAUACUCUUUGUUUUUAUUCUGUUUUCUAUUUCAGGUAGUAUGUUUGGGAGUGUCAUUACACCGGUCCACAAUGAAGUAUACAAAACAGAAAAGGACAUUAUAUCCCUGUCCUGCAACUAUUCCUCAGCAGCGAGUCUAUAUUGGUAUCGUCAAUAUCCUGGAUCGGUUCCUGAAUUUCUUUUAGUCAUUCUACAUGCAAAUGGGAAAGUUUUACAGAAGUCUGAAGUUGUGGAACUAGAUCCCCGAUUCUCAGGAGAACUGAAUAAAGAGAAGACCCACACCUAUCUUGAAAUCUCCUCUGCUAAAGUGACAGACUCAGCAACGUACUACUGUGCCCUGGAGCCCACAGUGACAGGAAAAUAGACAACACUGUCCAAAAACCUUCC